CCUCCCCGGGGAGGUCUGGGGGCCCUUUCUGGGGGUUUUCCAGAGCUGCUCCUUCCAAGCUGCCGCCACCAAGCCUGAUUCUGCCCUCUGGGAUGGUGGUGGUGCUGGGGGCAUAAGCCUUUAAAUUGGCACCAGGCCGGCUGGCACUGAGGGGUGUGGUGGAGGGGAGACCUGGGGCGGCGGCUUGGGCCAAUUAGGGACUUGAUAGAAGAACUGGAGUGGGAGCCUUUGCUGCCCAGGAACCGCUGGGGACGACCUGGGAUCUAUUUCCCACACUCAACUCCCUAAGCCAUGUGCCAAAGGGAUCGCUCAGCUCGGGAACCAAGAUCCUAAAUGGCUGCCCCCCUCCCCUCCCACUCCACCCUCCUCCCUCGGGGCAACUGACCUGGAGGUUUGGGGUCUGGAGUGAUGCUUAGAUACGUGUUCCUCCGCCCUCAGUACUCUCCUACUGGGAACAGAAGGGGUGGAAGCCUAGCUGGCGGGAGGUAAUUUGCAUUUAAAGAGAAAGUGACCUUUAGUGCUGGGGAUGGAGUAAGAUGGGAAAGCGUCCCCACAUUUAUUAUGCUGUCCCUUUCAUGACUUCGCCUUCUCACUUGAACAAGGUGACUUUGAUGGUUGUGUGAUGGCCAUCUCAAAACCUUUUUGCCUUUCCCAUCAGUUUUGGAGAAAAACUACAGUCUCACAAAAUGGUGGUGGCUUUGUUAGAAAGAAGAAUGGAAAGAGGGAGAAGAGAGAGAAAAAGAACAGCAGCACAUAAGAAGUACAGAAGUGGCAGCAGCAGCAGGAAGAAACUUCAAGACAAACAUCUAUCAGCCUACAAUAGUCUUUCAGGGCAACAAUGCUCCUCCCACUGACCAGACACCUCCUCGCUGGUGAGCGUUGGGGGCUGAACUCGGUGGCUGAGGAAGUGACCGGACCAAACCCGCCCCCUCCCCACCCCAGGCCUAGGAGACCCUUGUGAAAAGCAUCAGCGAGCAGGGAUCUGAGGGAGGGGCCUGCCUAGGCAGAGAAGACACCCAGAAGCCGCUGUCCUCCCCAACCAGAACUGCUAGAAAGUGGCACCAGGGCCCCUCUAGGAGAGUGGCAGAGGGCCUGGAGCACCGCUAAGACCUGGCCUGCAACCUGGGCAUGUGCCCUGACUGGGAAUCGAACCAGCAACCCCUUGCUUCACAGACCUGUGCUCAAUCCACUGAGCUACACUGGCCAGAGCAGGAUCCUCAGCUUUUACACCGAGGCUUGGGGUGGGUGAACAGGAGUGUUUAAGAAACCAGUUCAU